rnacentral:rRNA from 1 species
AGUGAACGCUGGCGGUAGGCCUAACACAUGCAAGUCGAACGGCAGCACAGUAAGAGCUUGCUCUUACGGGUGGCGAGUGGCGGACGGGUGAGGAAUACAUCGGAAUCUACUUUUUCGUGGGGGAUAACGUAGGGAAACUUACGCUAAUACCGCAUACGACCUACGGGUGAAAGCAGGGGAUCUUCGGACCUUGCGCGAUUGAAUGAGCCGAUGUCGGAUUAGCUAGUUGGCGGGGUAAAGGCCCACCAAGGCGACGAUCCGUAGCUGGUCUGAGAGGAUGAUCGGCCACACUGGAACUGAGACACGGUCCAGACUCCUACGGGAGGCAGCAGUGGGGAAUAUUGGACAAUGGGCGAAAGCCUGACCCAGCCAUACCGCGUGGGUGAAGAAGGCCUUCGGGUUGUAAAGCCCUUUUGUUGGGAAAGAAAAGCAGCAGGUUAAUACCCCGCUGUUCUGACGGUAACCAAAGAAUAAGCACCGGCUAACUUCGUG